rnacentral:lncRNA from 10 species
GCGGUUCCUUAAAGACACAGAACAUGCUCUCUACCUCAGGGCCUUUGCACGUUCUCUUUUUGCUCUCUAAAACUUGGACAUUUAGCAGAGACCCAUGGGAAAUGGGGAAGUCAUUUUUGAGGUCAUUUCCCAUAGGUCUCUGCUAAAUGUCACUUUUUCAGAGAGGCCUGUCUGACAAGUUUUAUAAAAUAUGACAUUAAGUAUUACGGCCAUUCAUGUUGAGUAUACGGAGACACCAGAUUUGCACUCAGCGGGAAUGAAACGGUCUUCCAUUUUACGGGUAACCACUUAGAAUUUCCUAUGUUGUGCUUAAUUUAACUUUGAGACUCUGCAUU